GAUGAACGCUGGCGGCGUGCCUAAUACAUGCAAGUCGAGCGAACGGACGAGAAGCUUGCUUCUCUGAUGUUAGCGGCGGACGGGUGAGUAACACGUGGAUAACCUACCUAUAAGACUGGGAUAACUUCGGGAAACCGGAGCUAAUACCGGAUAAUAGUUUGAACCGCAUGGUUCAAGAGUGAAAGACGGUCUUGCUGACACUUAUAGAUGGAUCCGCGCUGCAUUAGCUAGUUGGUAAGGUAACGGCUUACCAAGGGAACGAUGCAUAGCCGACCUGAGAGGGUGAUCGGCCACCCUGGAACUGGGACACGGUCCAGACUCCUACGGGAGGCAGCAGUAGGGAAUCUUCCGCAAUGGGCGAAAGCCUGACGGAGCAACGCCGCGUGAGUGAUGAAGGUCUUCGGAUCGUAAAACUCUGUUAUUAGGGAAGAACAUAUUUGUAAGUAACUGUGCACAUCUUGACGGUACCUAAUCAGAAAGCCACGGCUAACUACGUG
rnacentral:rRNA from 1 species